rnacentral:misc_RNA from 1 species
GUGAAUCAUCAAAUUUUUGAACGCAAAUUGCACUCUCUUCGGAUAGUAUGCCUGUUUCAGGGUCAGCCUCAAAAAAAUCGACAUAGUCGCUGUUUCGCGGUGACAUUCGUCGGUAAUUUCGUCAUUUUAAACCUUUGGGUUUUAAGCGGCUUGAAAUUUUCUUUACAAUUCCACGAACGCUUCUAAGAUUUACUUCUUCCACGUUUAAGGUUAUC